rnacentral:rRNA from 1 species
CCCUUAGAUGUUCUGGGCCGCACGCGCGCUACACUGAUGCGUUCAACGAGUAUACAACCUUGAUCGAUAGGUCUGGGUAAUCUUGUGAAUGCGCAUCGUGCUAGGGAUAGAUUGUUGCAAUUUUCAAUCUUGAACGAGGAAUUCCUAGUAAACGCAAGUCAUCAGCUUGCAUUGAUUACGUCCCUGCCCUUUGUACACACCGCCCGUCGCUACUGCCAACUGAGAUGGGUCCUGAAUUGUUAGGAACGCCCGUCAAGGGGCCUACCCGGUCCCUAGUGCGGUGACGAGAAUAACUGUAAAUGGCAUAUCUUGUAGGGAGUAAAAGUCGUAACA